AUUUGCAAAGGUAAAAACACAACAGGGUUGGUAGUCCCUGUGCAGUCAUAAUAUGAUUGUCAGUAGCCUUCCUCACCUGUGCAUAUUGCACACAGGUCGUCCUUCCUUUGUUUAUUAUAA
rnacentral:ncRNA from 1 species